UACGAAGGGGGCUAGCGUUGUUCGGAUUAACUGGGCGUAAAGCGCGCGUAGGCGGGUUUGUAAGUCAGGGGUGAAAUCCCGAGGCUCAACCUCGGAACUGCCUUUGAUACUGCAAAUCUCGAGUCCGGAAGAGGUGAGUGGAAUUCCUAGUGUAGAGGUGAAAUUCGUAGAUAUUAGGAAGAACACCAGUGGCGAAGGCGGCUCACUGGUCCGGUACUGACGCUGAGGUGCGAAAGCGUGGGGAGCAAACAGG
rnacentral:rRNA from 1 species